AUGUACAAAGGUGCCAAAGGCGAUUGCAGUGUGAUACUUGAGGCAAUGGACACACAGGAUCUCUGGAUUUGGCACUCCUUCUUUGGUAUGCCAGGAACUCACAAUGACAUCAACGUACUGCAGUUCUCACCAGUCUUUGCCAAGCUUGUUGAAGGUCAUGCUCCUCCGGUGAACUUCGAGGUCAAUGGGCACCACUACAACAAGGGAUACUACCUAGUAGAUGGCAUCUAUCCGAGAUGGUCCACAUUUGUGAAGACUAUCUCAAACCCUGUGCCAAGAGGCAAGAACUCCUACUUUGCCAGGUGUCAGGAGGCUUGCAGGAAGGAUGUCGAGCGGGCAUUUGGUGUGCUCCAAUCUCGAUUUGCUCUUGUCCGGUACCCCGCUCAGACCUGGUUGAAAGAUCAAAUGUGGGAAGUCAUGACUUGCUGUGUCAUCUUGCACAACAUGAUCACUGAGAGCGAGCAGGAAGAGGCAGUGUUUGACAAUGAACCAUAUUACAGGCAAGGCCCUCUUGCCCAAGUUGAUCACCAGCUACGGCAACCUGGACUGCUUCCUCAACAUGCAUUAGGAGAUCUGAGACCCACAAGUGCAGCAACAACUACUGCAAGAUCUGGUGGAGCACCUAUGGAGGCUCAAGGGCAAACGCCUAGCUUGACGCGUGAUGAAAUAUGA
rnacentral:rRNA from 1 species